rnacentral:tRNA from 1 species
GGUUUUUUAACUUAAUUGGUAGAGUGCGUUCUUGAUAAGGAUGUUAUCCAAGUUCAAAUCUUGGAAGAAUCA